rnacentral:rRNA from 1 species
CAGCCGCCGCGGUAAUACGGAGGGUGCAAGCGUUAAUCGGAAUCACUGGGCGUAAAGCGCACGCAGGCGGUCUGACAAGUCAGAUGUGAAAUCCCCGGGCUUAACCUGGGAACUGCAUUUGAAACUGUCAGGCUGGAGUCUUGUAGAGGGGGGUGGAAUUCCAGGUGUAGCGGUGAAAUGCGUAGAGAUCUGGAGGAAUACCGGUGGCGAAGGCGGCCCCCUGGACAAAGACUGACGCUCAGGUGCGAAAGCGUGGGGAGCAAACAGGAUUAGAUACCCCGGUAGUCCCUGUCUCUUAUAC